rnacentral:lncRNA from 1 species
CAAGACCACCUCUUUGCCGAUUCUGACACGCAUUGUUACUUCACUUCACUUCAGUGCAAAUUUUCGGGCUUUUAUUGUAUUCAAUCCCUUGAUACCUCGAAAGUGCGAAAGCCGCUGCUAUCUUCUUUUCGAGUCUCCAGUUGAUUGAAUAGGAGCAGCUGUAAUACCCAAAAAUUUACCCUUCAUUUUUCCUGAAAAAAAA